rnacentral:rRNA from 1 species
CCUACGGGAGGCAGCAGUGAGGAAUAUUGGUCAAUGGACGAGAGUCUGAACCAGCCAAGUAGCGUGAAGGAUGACUGCCCUAUGGGUUGUAAACUUCUUUUAUAAAGGAAUAAAACGAGGCACGUGUGCCUUUUUGCAUGUACUUUAUGAAUAAGGAUCGGCUAACUCCGUGCCAGCAGCCGCGGUAAUACGGAGGAUCCGAGCGUUAUCCGGAUUUAUUGGGUUUAAAGGGAGCGUAGGCGGAAUGCCAAGUCAGCGGUAAAAUCGCGGGGCUCAACCUCGCUCCGCCGUUGAAACUGGCGUUCUUGAGUGGGCGAGAGGUAUGCGGAAUGCGUGGUGUAGCGGUGAAAUGCAUAGAUAUCACGCAGAACACCGAUUGCGAAGGCAUCUCACGAACCCGCGAUUGACGCUGAUGCACGAAAGCGUGGGUAUCAAACAGGAUUAGAUACCCGAGUAGUC